AUGACUGAACAUAAACUGAAAAAGGUAAGUACAUUUUAAUUAAUCUAUACAUCUAUCGCGUUUGAAUCAAUCGACGCGCGCAAUUCGCAUUCAAGGCGGCAACGCGACGAGACGAGACGUUGGAGGAGACGUUGGAGGAGACGUUGGAGGAGACGUUGGACGAGACGUUGGAGGAGACGUUGGAGGAGACGUUGGACGAGACGUUGGAGGAGACGUUGGACGAGACGUUGGACGAGACGUUGGAGGAGACGUUGGACGAGACGUUGGACGAGACGUUGGACGAGACGUUGGAGGAGACGUUGGAGGAGAGCUUCAUGCCAGAACAAAACCAAAGCAUUGGGAUGAAACGAGAAACUAUUAUCCGCAGCCUUAUCCUGUACCUUGGUGAGAAAGAGGAGGCGUUAUUUGAAGACUGCCUGGUGGACAGCCGCAGUGAUGCAUCUCAACACAUCGUGAGGAUCGUGGUUGUCCGUGGCACCGAUGGAGAAGAUCCCGUUGACGUAUCGAUCCUCCUUGAAGGCAAGGAGAUGUUGGCGGGAUGCGAUUUAUUUACUAAAAGACUGGUUUUAAGCAUCGUACAAGGGUUAUUGGCACGGUGACAAUUUUCUCUUGUGAAGGUUUUGGAGGG